rnacentral:rRNA from 1 species
AUCUAUAGCUAUAAUACCGUGAACAUGUCUGAUCUCAAUGACUUCAGAAGCAAAGCAGGGUUAGAUCUGGUUAGUGCUUGGGUAGGAAAACACAACAGGUUUUAAAAU